AACGAACGCUGGCGGCAGGCCUAACACAUGCAAGUCGAGCGGACCUUUCGGGGUCAGCGGCGGACGGGUGAGUAACGCGUGGGAAUAUGCCCUUCUCUACGGAAUAGUCCUGGGAAACUGGGGGUAAUACCGUAUACGCCCUUUGGGGGAAAGAUUUAUCGGGGAAGGAUUAGCCCGCGUUGGAUUAGGUAGUUGGUGGGGUAAUGGCCUACCAAGCCGACGAUCCAUAGCUGGUUUGAGAGGAUGAUCAGCCACACUGGGACUGAGACACGGCCCAGACUCCUACGGGAGGCAGCAGUGGGGAAUCUUAGACAAUGGGGGCAACCCUGAUCUAGCCAUGCCGCGUGAGUGAUGAAGGCCUUAGGGUUGUAAAGCUCCUUCAGCUGGGAAGAUAAUGACGGUACCAGCAGAAGAAGCCCCGGCUAACUCCGUG
rnacentral:rRNA from 1 species